GUUGGAUUCCUGAACGGUCGUACUGGUGGCAGAGGCACAGAGCAGUGCUCUAGGUUGCUGCUUCAGGGGAUGUGUCCCUGAGAAUUUGGGGAGAGGAGAGGCUGCGGUUGACUGUUUUGUUUGGGGGCUCUUCCAGGCCCCUAGAAAAGCUAGAUGUGCCUACCUGCAAGGAGGACCAAGUGGAGGGCACUCUUCUAGCAGUGCAGCCAGAGGUUCAAUAGCCCCGAGGUUGCAGAAGACGGUCCUAAACCUUACGGAUGUUCUCUGAGUGCGCGCUGUACCGUCAGACCUAAUUUUGGUCUUUGAUUUUGAGAAAGCACAUUUCAGUGUGCAUUCUGGCCUCUCACUUUUUUAUUUGCUCUACCUUAAGGUACGCAAAGAGUCAACAGGGAUUUUCUAGCUCCACGGUUGGAGGAAAUGGCGCUGCCUGCCUGACAUCACAGUGGGCUGGACUCGGAUCCUCCUGGAGUCACAUGGACUUGGUGCUCUGGAGACACACUUGUAACCUCUCUUGUUCCAGUCCCCAGAGUGCCUGGAACCCUUGCCUCUGAGAUGCAAGUAAAGAAUGAGAUAAGUACUAAGAAUGUGACCAACUGUGCUUGAGUCCCCCCACAAACUCGUACUGGAUACCCAGCAGGAGACAUUACUGACUGGAACCAGAGUGUCCCCUCCCCCCCUCGCCUCCAAGCCAUGUCCUCACCAGCUUAUCACCAGACACAGGUCUCUAGUAGCUUCUGGCAUUUCAGAGACCAGGGAAAGUCAAGUUUACUCAAAGUCCUGGAUUCCUCUGGCUUCUCUACGCUCAGAACUUACAUUAGGAGAACAAUCGUUCUCUCAGGGGCUCCCACGCAGCUCCUCGCUCUGGUUACACUCUGCUGAUGCAGUCUGCCCAGCAUGGGCACUGGUCUUCCAUGGAGGCACCAAGGCUGGGCCACCUUGACCUUCAGAGCCAUACCCCACAAGGCUGUCCAGAUGUGUUCUCCAUCCUCCUUGUCAAUCUCCUGCCUUCGGUCCUCGGCCCUGAGGCUAUCUAUACCCCUUGCCUUGGUCUCUGUCUCCCUGCUUAGCAACUGGCUCAUUUGCCAUCUACAAACAGCUUCCAGACACCCUGUUCUUUCUUCUGGCUGUGGGUAGGUCCUGCUCAACUGCUGCUUCUGUGACCCCCAACCCGAGGGGGCGGAGAUCGGACUUGUUCUCCUUUUCUGGGCUGCCUCUGCCGCAUCCGACUCCCCUUCCUAUUGAGUGUGCAUCCCAAGUUCCAGGCUGCAGAAACCGGCCACCUGAGCGUCAAGUAUCUUCUCUUUUCCUUGCAUGGAGUAUCCACAAGAGAAAACCGGUCCCUUUCUGUAGGUAUGCCUCCUCCAUGUCAGACAGGAUGUUUCUAAUGGGCGCAUCCUUCCUUUAGUAAAGCCCUCAAAGGAGCCUGACUCCCUGGGGUGCCGGAGGCCCUUUCCCAUCAAUUGGGAAGGUGCUGCGAUCUUUCCCAUGGAUCCGCAAAGAGUGGGUGCCAAGGAUCUUCUUGCUGUUUGGUAACAGAAAACAGACUAAGACCUUGUGGGAAGAACAGAAUGAAAAAAAAAUGUGAAAGAAAAGUAGUUGGGGAGAAAGAGACUUUGCAAGGCUUUUCCUAAAUGUCCCUCCACACUGGUCUAUUUUCAGACCUAUCCUGUUACUGUUUUGUUUACUCAAGAGCCCAUGUGAAUUGGUUAAAAGCAGGCAUGAAAGGAAAUGCUCACAGAGAGACAAGUCAAUGGAAGUGUCUAAAGUGGACUUGUGUUCAAUUUCAUAGACAGCCAAGGCAAUGAAGCCUGCCAGCCAGGGAGGCCAACUCACACCUGUCACAUGCUCAAGAACCUGGAAGGAGGGUCACUUCCGGUAGUGGAAGACUGCUCUGUCAAGCGAUUGGAGGCUUUGGGAGCUCUCCCUCCCCUUGCACAAGUUGACACAUUUUAUAUGUAUUAAUGGAUAAAGAAUUUUAUGCUGAGGUUAUGGAUGAGGGUUUCUCAGAGAUAAAAACAGAUGCAGGAACACAGCGUGUACCUGCUUCCUCCCUUCGAGUCCCACAGGCCACAGGCAGCAGUGACUACACAGCCAUGACAGAGAAAACAGCCCCCCUAUACCCUCUACGCCCCACCCCCACCCCACGGUGGAAAAGCCUUCAUCCUUUUGGGGAGGACCUGGAUUCUCCUCCCAGCCUUUUGGAAUAUAAGACAUCUCUCUUCAAGAGCCCUAAUUUGUCUCAGGCUUUUAGAACCAGAGAGAGGUCUCCAAGGUGUGGAAUGUAAUACCUGGGAUGGUGGGGACGUGCUGUCCCUUUGUCCCGGCAUCUUAAGAACUUCACCUGAGGUAAUAGGAUGGAUUUUAACUACUUGAUGCUCUUAGGACGUUAACUGAAAAGUUUUAUUAUUCUUAUGGAUCAAAGAAAUUUAAAAAACUGAAUAGGGUGGAAAAACCAUCUGAGCUCUAGUCAAAGCAAACAGCCAUCCGCUGGCCAUGCAGUGUCUGUGUCCUGGGACUACUAAGACACUCCAAAAGUCUUCUUUUUGUUGUUGGGGUUUUUUUCCUU